AUCCGUAGCCGGUUCUGUAAGUUUUCGGUUAAAUCUGUACGCUCAACGUACAGGCUGCUGGGAAUACUGCAGAACUAGGGAGUGGGAGAGAUAGACGGUACUCGGGAGGAAGUGGUAAAAUGCUUUGAUCUCUCGAUGACCACCUGUGGCGAAGGCGGUCUAUCAGAACACGUCCGACGGUGAGGGAUGAAAGCUGGGGGAGCAAACCGGAUUAGAUACCCGGGUAGUCCCAGCUGUAAACUAUGCAAACUCAAUGAUGCAUUGACUUAUGGUCAAUGCAGUGUUGCAGGGAAGCCGUUAAGUUUGCCGCCUGGGAAGUACGUACGCAAGUA
rnacentral:rRNA from 1 species